rnacentral:rRNA from 1 species
CCUACGGGAGGCAGCAGUGGGGAAUAUUGCACAAUGGGGGAAACCCUGAUGCAGCGACGCCGCGUGAGUGAAGAAGUAAUUCGUUAUGUAAAGCUCUAUCAGCAGGGAGGAAAAUGACGGUACCUGAGUAAGAAGCGCCGGCUAACUACGUGCCAGCAGCCGCGGUAAUACGUAGGGGGCAAGCGUUAUCCGGAUUUACUGGGUGUAAAGCGAGCGUAGACGGCAGUGCAAGUCUGGAGUGAAAGGCGGGGGCUCAACCCCAGGACUGCUCUGGAGACUGGACGGCUGGAGUGCAGGAGAGGUAAGUAGAAUUCCUAGUGUAGCGGUGAAAUGCGUAGAUAUUAGGAGGAACACCAGUGGUGAAGGCGGCCUACUGGACUGUAACUGACGUUGAGGCUCGAAAGCGUGGGGAGCAAACAGGAUUAGAUACCCGGGUAGUC